rnacentral:rRNA from 1 species
UGGCCAGACUCCUACGGGAGGCAGCAGUGAGGAAUAUUGGUCAAUGGGCGGAAGCCUGAACCAGCCAAGUCGCGUGAGGGAUUAAGGCCCUAUGGGUCGUAAACCUCUUUUGUCAGGGAGCAAGGUCGUCCACGUGUGGGCGUAUGGAGAGUACCUGAAGAAAAAGCAUCGGCUAACUCCGUGCCAGCAGCCGCGGUAAUACGGAGGAUGCGAGCGUUAUCCGGAUUUAUUGGGUUUAAAGGGUGCGUAGGCGGGACCUUAAGUCAGCGGUAAAAUUGCGGGGCUCAACCCCGUACUGCCGUUGAAACUGCAUCCCUUGAGUGCGCGAGAAGUAUGCGGAAUGCGUGGUGUAGCGGUGAAAUGCAUAGAUAUCACGCAGAACUCCGAUUGCGAAGGCAGCAUACCGGCGCGCAACUGACGCUCAUGCACGAAAGCGUGGGUAUCGAACAGGAUUAGAUACCCCUGUAAG